GACGAACGCUGGCGGCGUGCUUAACACAUGCAAGUCGAGCGAUGAAGCUCCUUCGGGAGUGGAUUAGCGGCGGACGGGUGAAUAACACGUGGGUAACCUACCUCAAAGAGGGGGAUAGCCUCCCGAAAGGGAGAUUAAUACCGCAUAAUAAUCAGUUUUCACAUGGAGAUUGAUUUAAAGGAGUAAUCCGCUUUGAGAUGGACCCGCGGCGCAUUAGCUAGUUGGUAGGGUAACGGCCUACCAAGGCGACGAUGCGUAGCCGACCUGAGAGGGUGAUCGGCCACAUUGGAACUGAGAGACGGUCCAGACUCCUACGGGAGGCAGCAGUGGGGAAUAUCGCACAAUGGGCGAAAGCCUGAUGCAGCAACGCCGCGUGAGUGAAGAAGGUUUUCGGAUUGUAAAGCUCUGUCUUUGGGGACGAUAAUGACGGUACCCAAGGAGGAAGCCACGGCUAACUACGUGCCAGCCGCCGCAGUAACAC
rnacentral:rRNA from 1 species